rnacentral:rRNA from 1 species
AACGCUGGCGGCGUGCCUAACACAUGCAAGUCGAACGAGAAAGUGGAGCUAUCCAUGAGUACAGUGGCGACCGGGUGAGUAACACGUGAUCAACCUACCUUCGAGUGGGGAAUAACUCCGGGAAACCGGAGCUAAUACCGCAUAAAAUCUUCGGUCCACAUGAACUGAUGAUCAAAGGAGCAAUUCGCUUGAGGAGGGGUUCGCGGCUGAUUAGCUAGUUGGUAGGGUAAUGGCCUACCAAGGCUUAGAUCGGUAUCCGGCCUGAGAGGGCGCACGGACACACUGGAACUGAAACACGGUCCAGACUCCUACGGGAGGCAGCAGUGGGGAAUUUUGCGCAAUGGGGGAAUCCCUGACGCAGCAACGCCGCGUGGAGGAUGAAGUCCCUUGGGACGUAAAUUCCUUUCGACCGGGAAGAUACUGACGGUACCGGAUGAAGAAGCACCGGCUAACUCUGUGCCAGCAGCCGCGGUAAUAAGGU